rnacentral:rRNA from 1 species
AUUGAACGCUGGCGGCAUGCUUUACACAUGCAAGUCGAACGGUAACAGGCCGCAAGGUGCUGACGAGUGGCGAACGGGUGAGUAAUGCAUCGGAACGUGCCCAGUCGUGGGGGAUAACUGCUCGAAAGAGCAGCUAAUACCGCAUACGAUCUAUGGAUGAAAGCGGGGGACCGUAAGGCCUCGCGCGAUCGGAGCGGCCGAUGUCAGAUUAGGUAGUUGGUGGGGGAAAGGCUCACCAAGCCAACGAUCUGUAGCUGGUCUGAGAGGACGACCAGCCACACUGGGACUGAGACACGGCCCAGAAUUCUACGGGAGGCGGCAGUGGGGAAUUUUGGACACUGGGGGCAACCCUGAUCCAGCAAUGCCGCGUGCAGGAAGAAGGCCUUCGGGUUGUAAACUGCUUUUGUACGGAACGAAACGGUCUGGGUUAAUACCCUGGGCUAAUGACGGUACCGUAAGAAUAAGCACCGGCUAACUACGUGCCAGCCGCCGCGGUAA